CUGGUGCAAACAACCUUGAAGCGGGACGCAGCCAAAGAACACGAGAUGCCAUUUCUCAGCCCAAUUGGAAAGAGGCCGGGAGCACCAGUUCCCUGACCCCCUCAGCCCCACCGCCUGCCGCCCCCUGGUACUGACCAGCUCCUUCUUCCUCUUCUCCUCUUUCACGUCGGUCUUCUUGAUCUCUGCCUUGAAGGCCUCCGCCUCGCCAUUCUGGUCGUCCUUGGCCAGCAGGUCCAUGAGGGACACCAGUCCCUACGAAGACCUUGGGCGAUUUUGAAGUGCGGGCACCUCGAUUCCCCGAAUCUGUAGUGUGGCUGGUAUCGGUGUUCCCCUGGUUUAACUAGCCUGUUUGAAGGCACAGAUCAUUCAUGGGGAUGUAUAACCGAAACCAGUCCUCUCCACCGCCUGGGGAUCUUCACUUUCGCAGUCUACGACUGCCUGUGACUCCAGAAAGACAAACUGCAGAUUGGCCAAGCUGCCUGAAGACCCAGCCCGACAGCGAUGCCUGUCAGCCCGCGUCGCCCACCAGGGCAGCUGCUCUCCCAACUCGCAUGGGGGGCACCACCCCGCCUCGGUGCCCUAGAGCUGAGCGC
ensembl:lncRNA HAND2-AS1 HAND2 antisense RNA 1